AGAAUCAACGCUGGCGGCGUGCCUAACACAUGCAAGUCGAACGAGAAAGUGGAGCAAUCCAUGAGUAAAGUGGCGCACGGGUGAGUAACACGUGACUAACCUACCCUUGAGUGGGGAAUAACCUAGGGAAACCUGGGCUAAUACCGCAUAACACCUACGGGUCAAAGGAGCAAUUCGCUUAAGGAGGGGGUCGCGGCAGAUUAGCUAAGUUGGCGGGGUAAUGGCCCACCAAGGCAGUGAUCUGUAUCCGGCCUGAGAGGGCGCACGGACACACUGGAACUGAAACACGGUCCAGACUCCUACGGGAGGCAGCAGUGGGAAUUUUGCGCAAUGGGGGAAACCCUGACGCAGCAACGCCGCGUGGAGGAUGAAGUCCCUUGGGACGUAAACUCCUUUCGACCGGGAAGAUUAUGACGGUACCGGAAGAAGAAGCCCGGCUAACUUCGCGCCAGCAGCCGC
rnacentral:rRNA from 1 species